AAUGAAGAAAAACUCUCCAAGUAAAAAAUCUUUCCAAAUGGCAGGACCAAGUAACUCACCAGAAAACAACUCAGACCUAGGAUAUUUUAAAAGAUGCUGUGUUUCAAGUAAGUCCAGAGUUUGAUCUCCUCGAGCAGAAGGAAGCACCAGCAUGCACUUCCUGCACUAGUGUGUUAUGAAACUCCAACCGAUAAGACAGAGGGGAUGGAGAAUCUGCAAUAAGAGCCUGAAAACAUCACCAUACUUAUACAGGCAAAAAUACAUUAUUUAGAUGACAAUGAACAUGCCCUGACUCCAUUCUGCUUCUUAAUUUGCACAGUGGGUAAAACGGAUCCUGAUUUAUAGUUAUUGCUGCGCCAGGCAGAGGACUGUGCUUGCACCCAGGUAGCGGAGCCUGUCCCUGCCUGAACCCAGGAGUGCUGCGAUGAAGCGGUAUUGCAACUCUUGACGCAUACAGCACAGAGAAAUGAGGACAUAAAGGUCCUUUUCUGCUAAUAGUCCGUUUGGCUUUUUUUCUGUUGUGGUACCAUAGCAAUUGGCUCUUUGGACCCAGCUGUACUCUGUGUGUCUUCACAAAACCUGGGGAGAGGGCAGAGGAAGUUAUCCUUCCUCUCAGCCUAGAGUCUGCAAAAGUACUGGCAGCUGGCUUUUUCUACCAGGAAAAAUGCUUAGUGACUCUGCAGAGCUGCAAACCUGCUGCCCUUUUCCCUGGACCUCUCCACCUUUUGGCGUGUUGGACAGAAGACAGCAUCCCCCACUGAGCUGAACUUCACAUGAAGCAGCAAGGAAUCAACUAGAAGUGCUAAACUGCAGCUACCGCGCUGGAGACGGUGACGAAUUCAAACUGACCAGAAAUCAGAUGCCAGGACAAGAGUUAGAAGAGAGAAUUAAGAUGAAAUUAUAACUGGCACAUCCAAGGAGAAACACCAUAUUGCAGGUUCAGGAGGGGCAAAAUACAAACAUUCACAUUCAUUUGUCAACAUACAUUGACUGAUCUAAAUUAAUACCAAGACUAACUACCAUACGCUACCAUGCAAAGCCUGUCUUAAGGAGAGAAGAAGAAAGCAUAAUAAAAAUGCUGAAAUAAGAUUUUGCUAAACUAACCUGAAAUUAAACAUCAUAUUUGUGACCAUUUCAAAAAAGGAAGGCUCUCAUUCUGGUUAAAAAUAUAAAUUCAAGCGUAUAGUUUUCAUAGAGAAAAAUAAAAAAACCAAAAGAAAUUAACAAAAAGAAUAAUUAACAAAUAAUCAACAAAAUAAUUAACAAAAGAAACAUUAAUUUUCGGGAAACAACGUUUGUUGCUAAUGAUAUCUAGACCUUCUCAAAACCAUGAACUUGGAGCAGGAGUUGAACUAAAGGCAGCAAUUCAAAUAUGUUUUUCCCUGUAUACAGUUCUCAUAAACUUAAAAUGAAUAUUCAGGAAUCUCCUGUAUUUAUCAGGCAGAAGAAAGGCGUUUCUACCAAUUGGACUCCACUUGAAAUGACAUCCUCAGCCCUCAUACGAAUCCUUCAGCUGCAGUAACCCACUUGUACAAGUGCAGCUAACGCCGCCGCCGCCCUGUGCUCCUCUGCGGUCUCUCUCCUGCUGUUUACUUCUGGUUUUCUUCUGCAGAACCCCACUCAAGAGGAAGAGGGUGCAGCAUGCUGUGGUUUAGAGCUUAAGCACUUCCAAAUGGUGAAACUGAGUUACCAUAGCACCCACAUGCUCAAGCAAUCAGAUCUAUCUCAGUGCUAAACCACAACUUCUCUAGUACAGCCGAGAAGUUUCCCUAUUCAACUCCUUUUCACCAAAUUUGCAUUUGUAAUUAUUUUUAGUUAUGCAGGUCCAUUAACACGAUACAGUGGGGGAUGGCAGUCUUUGGGAAUACAGGUUUGCUUUGCGAGGAGUAUUUGUCUCAAUGUGAAUCAUGUCUGCAAAAGGGAAGAAUACCAAAUCCUGAUGUAACAGCUAUCUCAGCUGUGAGAUGUUGGCUACUACCCACAGUCAUUAAAAACACCUAUAUGUCAGGAAUGAAAGUAGUUGCCUGCUCAGACUACACACUUGCAGCCCUUCAUGUGAAGCUCUUGCAGUGUUAUUUAUUGAUGCUGUGAUACUUGCUUGGCAAUUUUGUGUUACAUGCAAAAGAAAACCUGUGUCAGUGUUUGCUUUGCCUUCUGCAUGUUUCUGGUAUUUGUGCAUGUACAAGGCUAAGAGCCAGUCUUAAGCUGAUACUCUGUUAAAUAUAUCCUCUGUAAAGUCUCAGUACCUAAUUUUAGUUAUGACUCUUGGAGCUCAGCUCUUCCACGAGCAGAGAGCAGCUCUGAAAUGACCCAGCGCGCGUUGCUUGUGGCACGCACCCGAAGGAACUUGCAACUACUCCGUUUUCCUCUCCGUUCCUGCACCCAUGUUUUUGUAAUUGCCACCUUUAUGAGCUCUGGGGAGCUGCUGAGCAGAGCCAAAGCCAGCUCAAUCAUUAAGAGUUUUGACAGGAAAAAGAGGCUGCAACCAAAGCUGGACCUACCAUCCUACUAUCAGUCACAGGCAGAGGUAGGAGCCAGCUGCUUUAUCUAAGACUGCCUCACCGGACCGUGGCUUAUUUAAAUGUUAGACUUACUUCUCUACCUACCCUGAGCCCCUUCAUCAUACAAGCAUUAUCUCAUAUGGUAAAUCAGUUUCUGACGGCAAAUUACUUUUUACAUAAUUUUGCUAUAAAUAGAAAAUGGGUUCUCUGCUCUGCAGAACAGAAAUAACCUGGAAACAUUUUGCUAAACUUUAACCAGCUCAGAUACCAAACCACAGUUUAACACUGUAAGAACUGCAAUAUUUUAGCUACUAUAAUCCAAAGCCAGUUGAAAUCAGAAGCACCUUCUGUUUGUUGCAGCUCUGUUAGCAGGAAGUCCUUGGCUCAACAGCUCCGCACCUGGGCAACAGUAUUUAGGUGAGGACUGUAAUCAGUAAUCUUCAAAAAGAUGCAGCCAGCAAUUUUUAAAAAUAAAUGAAAAUUACUUUCCAGAAA